GUCCCGGGCGCCAGCGGACCCCGCACCAGCGCCCCCAGAUGGGGGACGCCUGCCUGCCCCCACCGGGGGCUUCCUGUAGAUGGUGACAAAUACAAGAGCAUCUGUAGGGCCUGGGAGAGCUGGGGCUCCGCCCACCCGGUCCCCAGGGGCACACAUGGGCCUCCCCCAAGGGCUCUGGGCUGGGAGCAGCACAGAGCUCGGGCUUCAGCCUCCAGGUGUGGUGGAGAAGGGGACAAGAGAACAGAGCCACGGCCACGCCCUGUGGCUUUGGAAGAGUGGCCCACUGAGAGAGGCCCCCAAGAAGCAGCAGCAGCCGGCAGCCAGCAGCCACCAUGUCUGACGAGGAAGUUGAACACGUUGAGGAAGAGGCCCAGGAGGAAGCUCCCAGCCCUGCAGAAGUCCAUGAGCCAGCCCCCGAAGUUCAUGUACCAGAGGAAGUCCACGAAGACGCCCUCGAGGACGUGCGGGAGGAGGAGGAGGAAGAAGAGAAGCCAAGACCCAAGUGAGUACCAGCGUGGCCCAGGGCUGGGGUGCGAGGGGAGAAGCCCAGGUGUACAGGACGGGUGAUGCUGAGGUGGCCCAGAACACUGACUGGGGAGGCCCAGGGCAAGCCAGGAGGGCUUCCUGCAAGAGGAGGCUACAGCCAAAGCGAGGAGGGGUCCAGCAGGGUGGGUGUCAGCGGGAGGAAGGAAGAGGCGGGAGCAGAGGAGAGGUCGGAGGUGUUGCCUCUCUGGACCCCACUCCGUGAGCCCCAGUACUGGUGGUAGGGGUGGGGGUCUCCCAGGGCUCUGAGUGUGCAAGUGAACAUGGAAGGAGCUGCCUGGGUGGGGUGGGGGCUCUUGGGGGGGCCCCUGAGCCCCUUCUCGGGGGUCUCUCAGAGAUGGAUUUUGGAACGCAGCUUCCCCUGGUGCCGGUUGUGGGAAGGACCUGGGGGCCCCGGCUGGUGCGCCCCAGGGGCUCCUGGGAGAGCGGCUGCCGUGUUUGCACUUUACAGAACGUGGGGCCGGCUCCCAAGAUAUUUUCUCAUUUUAGAAAAAUUGUUUGUGUUUUCAUUAUGAAAAUAAAACACCUCAUUAAGGGAAAUUUGGAAAAUAC
rnacentral:lncRNA from 1 species